GGCCAGACUCCUACGGGAGGCAGCAGUGAGGAAUAUUGGUCAAUGGCCGAGAGGCUGAACCAGCCAAGUCGCGUGAGGGAAUAAGGCCCUACGGGUCGUAAACCUCUUUUGCCGGGGAGCAAGGGCGGGGACGUGUCCCGGCCCGGAGAGUACCCGGAGAAAAAGCAUCGGCUAACUCCGUGCCAGCAGCCGCGGUAAUACGGAGGAUGCGAGCGUUAUCCGGAUUUAUUGGGUUUAAAGGGUGCGCAGGCGGAAUGUCAAGUCAGCGGUAAAAUUUCGGGGCUCAACCCCGUCGUGCCGUUGAAACUGGCGUUCUUGAGUGAGCGAGAAGUAUGCGGAAUGCGUGGUGUAGCGGUGAAAUGCAUAGAUAUCACGCAGAACUCCGAUUGCGAAGGCAGCAUACCGGCGCUCAACUGACGCUCAUGCACGAAAGCGUGGGUAUCGAACAGGAUUAGAUACCCCCGUAC
rnacentral:rRNA from 1 species